CAGUAGCCGCGGUAAUACGAAGGGUGCAAGCGUUACUCGGAAUUACUGGGCGUAAAGCGCACGCAGGCGGUCUGUCAAGUCAGAUGUGAAAUCCCCGGGCUUAACCUGGGAACUGCAUUUGAAACUGGCAGGCUAGAGUCUUGUAGAGGGGGGUAGAAUUCCAGGUGUAGCGGUGAAAUGCGUAGAGAUCUGGAGGAAUACCGGUGGCGAAGGCGGCCCCCUGGACAAAGACUGACGCUCAGGUGCGAAAGCGUGGGGAGCAAACAGGAUUAGAUACCCGUGUAGUCCCUGUCUCUUAUAC
rnacentral:rRNA from 1 species